rnacentral:rRNA from 1 species
GUGGGGAAUAUUGGACAAUGGGCGAAAGCCUGAUCCAGCCAUGCCGCGUGUGUGAAGAAGGUCUUCGGAUUGUAAAGCACUUUAAGUUGGGAGGAAGGGCAGUAAGUUAAUACCUUGCUGUUUUGACGUUACCAACAGAAUAAGCACCGGCUAACUUCGUGCCAGCAGCCGCGGUAAUACGAAGGGUGCAAGCGUUAAUCGGAAUUACUGGGCGUAAAGCGCGCGUAGGUGGUUCAGCAAGUUGAAGGUGAAAUCCCCGGGCUCAACCUAGGAACUGCCACCAAAACUACUGAGCUAGAGUACGGUAGAGGGUAGUGGAAUUUCCUGUGUAGCGGUGAAAUGCGUAGAUAUAGGAAGGAACACCAGUGGCGAAGGCGACUACCUGGACUGAUACUGACACUGAGGUGCGAAAGCGUGGGGAGCAAACAUGAUUAGAUACCCCAGUAGUCC